rnacentral:rRNA from 1 species
GAUGAACGCUGGCGGCGUGCCUAAUACAUGCAAGUCGAGCCAACAGACGAGGAGCUUGCUCCUCUGACGUUAGCGGCGGACGGGUGAGUAACACGUGGAUAACCUACCUAUAAGACUGGGAUAACUUCGGGAAACCGGAGCUAAUACCGGAUAAUAUAUUGAACCGCAUGGUUCAAUAGUGAAAGACGGUUUUGCUGUCACUUAUAGAUGGAUCCGCGCCGCAUUAGCUAGUUGGUAAGGUAACGGCUUACCAAGGCGACGAUGCGUAGCCGACCUGAGAGGGUGAUCGGCCACACUGGAACUGAGACACGGUCCAGACUCCUACGGGAGGCAGCAGUAGGGAAUCUUCCGCAAUGGGCGAAAGCUUGACGGAGCAACGCCGCGUGAGUGAUGAAGGUCUUCGGAUCGUAAAACUCUGUUAUUAGGGAAGAACAAAUGUGUAAGUAACUAUGCACGUCUUGACGGUACCUAAUCAGAAAGCCACGGCUAACUACGUG